rnacentral:rRNA from 1 species
GACAGAGGGGGCAAGCGUUGCUCGGAAUCACUGGGCGUAAAGGGCGCGUAGGCGGGAUGGCAAGUCGGUCGUGAAAUCCUUCGGCUCAACCGAAGAACGUCGGCCGAUACUGCCGUUCUUGAGGGAUGCAGAGGAGAUUGGAAUUCCCGGUGUAGCGGUGAAAUGCGUAGAUAUCUGGAGGAACACCGGUGGCGAAGGCGGCAUCCUGGACCGGUAUUGACGCUGAGGCGCGAAAGCCAGGGGGGCAAACGGG